rnacentral:tRNA from 1 species
UCCCGGGUAGUGUAGCGGUAACACGACGCUCUUUGACAGCGUUAUCCAUGGUUCGAAUCCAUGCCCGGGAGCCA